CCGAUCUUAGCUCAGUUGGAAGAGCGCGAGACUGUAAUGGAUAAAAUUCGCUGUGGCAUCUUGAGGUCGCCUGUUCGAGCCAGGCAGAUCGGA
rnacentral:tRNA from 1 species